rnacentral:rRNA from 1 species
UCCUACGGGAGGCAGCAGUGAGGAAUAUUGGUCAAUGGUCGGGAGACUGAACCAGCCAAGCCGCGUGAGGGAGGAAGGUACAGAGUAUCGUAAACCUCUUUUGUCAGGGAACAAAGGCGGGGACGUGUCCCCGGAUGAGUGUACCUGAAGAAAAAGCAUCGGCUAACUCCGUGCCAGCAGCCGCGGUAAUACGGAGGAUGCGAGCGUUAUCCGGAUUUAUUGGGUUUAAAGGGUGCGCAGGCGGCGAGUUAAGUCAGCGGUAAAAUUUCGGGGCUCAACCCCGACGAGCCGUUGAAACUGGCUUG